rnacentral:rRNA from 1 species
CGGUGGAUGAUGUGGAUUAAUUCGAUGCAACGCGAAAACCUUACCUACCCUUGACAUGUCCGGAAUCCCGAAGAGAUUUGGGAGUGCUCGCAAGAGAGCCGGAACACAGGUGCUGCAUGGCUGUCGUCAGCUCGUGUCGUGAGAUGUUGGGUUAAGUCCCGCAACGAGCGCAACCCUUGUCAUUAGUUGCCAUCAUUUGGUUGGGCACUCUAAUGAGACUGCCGGUGACAAACCGGAGGAAGGUGGGGAUGACGUCAAGUCCUCAUGGCCCUUAUGGGUAGGGCUUCACACGUCAUACAAUGGUCGGUACAGAGGGUUGCCAACCCGCGAGGGGGAGCUAAUCCCACAAAGCCGAUCGUAGUCCGGAUCGCAGUCUGCAACUCGACUGCGUGAAGUCGGAAUCGCUAGUAAUCGUGGAUCAGCAUGUCACGGUGAAUACGUUCCCGGGUCUU